UAUUGGACAAUGGGGGAAACCCUGAUCCAGCAAUGCCGCGUGUGUGAUGAAGGCCUUCGGGUUGUAAAGCACUUUUGUCAGGGACGAUGAUGACGGUACCUGACGAAUAAGCUCCGGCUAACUUCGUGCCAGCAGCCGCGGUAAUACGAGGGGAGCUAGCGUUGUUCGGAAUUACUGGGCGUAAAGGGCGUGUAGGCGGUACCAUAAGUCAGAUGUGAAAGCCCUAGGCUAACCUAGGAGGUGCAUUUGAUACUGUGAACAGAGUCAGAGAGGAAGUGAAUUCGAGUGAAGGUAAAUUCGAGUUUCGAAGACACCAGUGGCGAGCACUUCUGCUCGUCUGCGAAUGCCAAAUA
rnacentral:rRNA from 1 species